GCUCCACACUUCCUUUCCGCGCAGCGCUUGGGAGUGCGAGCUGCUCGUGCAGCAUGGCGGGCGGCGGAGGCCCGGGGCUGCGGAACCCGGCCCGUCCUCGGGCUCUUCCAGGUGCAGCAAAACCUGUCUCUUGAAGAUGCCUGAACAAAUGUUUUCCAUUUAAACAAGCCACCAGGACUACAGUUGCCAGUAACACGGUACAAUACUAAGCAUGUAGGUAGCUUCAGGUGAAUGUCCAACUUGAGUAGCUGUGAUGUUUACAAACACUUCAUUGUUUUGGGGAGCUGCAGCACACAUUUUGGAUGUAAAAUGAAGGAUUGGUCAAGAAACCGUGAACAGAAACAAAUGAUGAGAAUUAGUAUUUUAUUUGGUAUUAAGUAAUAUGUAGAAUUUUAGUUGCAGUGGGCAAUAAUUUCUUUAAAAUGUAUGUCUAAAAGUGUCGUUCUCAUAGUAAAAUAAAGUUCUUAUCUUUUAUGA